rnacentral:lncRNA from 1 species
GAGCCCAAGCGAAAACGUCCGCAUUCUUUCAUAAAAAGUUGAUAAGCUGUGUUCGCACCUCUUCCCCCAAGUUGGAGCCGAUCUUCAUCACGUGCUCUUCAUUCCCAUCAUUCAAAAGAAUUGAGACAAGGUCUUCAAUUGACCCACCCCUUUCUUCAGCAAGAUCAUCGUGAGUGUCCAGUCCGUCGACCGGACAGGGGUUGGA